rnacentral:lncRNA from 1 species
GUAGGAGGAGCGUUUUUGACACCUGCUCUUAACAUGCGUCUUUAGCUAUAAUCCAGCCUGCUAGGGAUUGUACCCCUAGAAGACUGAUUGUCAUUCUAAGGAAGUGAAGGUAUGACCUAAUGAUUUAAGUUUGCAUAGCGCUCCACUAUUUGCAAAAUCCUUUUUUGUUUGUUAUCUCCAACUCAGUCCUGUAAAGUUAAUUAAGCCCGCUAUGUAAUACUAAAACACAGAGGCCUGCAGAGGCUAAGUGACUCUUCCAAUGCAAUGAGCUAAUGAGUGGCAGAGUCAGGACUCAGAUCCAAGUCUUACUCCAAGUCCAGUGCUCUUUCCUCUAUUUCAAAGCUGCUGCCAUAAAAAUUAUGUCUUAAAGGAGGAGAUAACUUCCAGAUAGUAUCAGAGUAAGCUACAGAGUUGAACUGCUGUCACGGUUUGAGGGGACCUUCAAGGUUCUUUGCAUUAGUUUCUAAGUGAAGGCUAGUUGCUCUGUGAGCUUUAGUGCAGUCCCUACUCUGUCCCCAUUGAAACAUACCAAAAACCAAAAAUAGAUGCUUCCAUUCUUAGUGCCAAUAUCAACAAACCCACCAGAAUUCCAGGUCAUAUCCACAUUCCUGGGUUUGGAUACCACAUGAAAUAUUGAGAGCAUAUUUCAUUGUGUGCUUUUAAUCUGUUAAAUCUGCCUAGCACAGAGUUCACUCAUGUCUCAGAUGUUAGGAAUUUUAAAAGCUGCAGGUUAGGAAUAAAGCCAUUGCCUAUGGCUAAAGAAAAUGGUUCGUUGCAAAACACACCUUCAUCAACACUUCAGCAUGCACUAGUACAUCUAGCCCAGUGACCCUUUUAAAGUAAAAUGUUAAAGUGUGCCCUUUUCACUUCCUGGGGAAAAAUGUAUAGUUUAUCUGCUUAUAAUCAAUGUAAUGAUUUAGCAGUAAUAUAAAAAAGAAAAUGAUUUGUAAUGUGUGUGUAUACACACAUAUAGUAUAUAUGUAUAUAUAUAAAUGUUUAGAUGUGUAGAAGAUAUAUUGAACUAGUCAGAUGUUUGUAUUUUAUUAGACUCACUAAGUAUGUGAAAGCUACAGAUAUAGGCGGAUAUUUUUGUGUGUGUGUGUGUUGUAUUGGUGAGUCAUGUACCAAUAGAAGUGUUCCAGGAGAAAUGAGGGAAUUUAAACAUGAUUUCUGAAAUGCUAACAAAUCUUGAGUAAAGCCCUCAACAAAAUAUAAUCCCUCCCCUUUAAAAAAAGUAAAUUUUGAGUUGUGUUAUUGAAAAAUUUAUAUAAACCUGUGCUGAAGCAAAUAAACAAGCCAACCAUUUAUUAAAAAUAGUUAAAUAUUAGACUACCUUUUAAAGGCAUUUGUUCUUUCUCAAGGGCACAGCUGUCCACUGUGGCAUAGGAGAGGGUUUAAGAGUAUUAGUUAAUCUCUGCUCUGUAGCUUGUGUUCUUUGGUCUGUAAAACUGCACUGAGUGCAUACACCGAGUGGUGUAGAAUUCUUGGUCUCUACACACCGAAUGGUAGUAACAGACUACCAACUUCUUGUUCAGUUAAAAUGCCACGUCAGAUUUUAAGGGAAUAGCACUGACCCUUCGAGAAUACUGAAUUACUAAAGCAAAUAUGCAUGUGUGCAAGAAAUAUAAAAGCUGCUUACCUGGGGUCAAGAAGUAAAGAAAAAGCAUUAAGCAAGGUCCACUAUGUGUUUGUACUAAAUUGCCUUUGACUAAAAAGCAUGGUCCCUGCACCCGUCUACUGUAGCAGCCUUUCAGCACGUCGUCUGCUCUAGAACAUCUGUUACAAUUGCCUGUGAUUAUGAUGCCAAGCUAUUGGAAUAAAGUAUAUACUUUAUGUUAGGAGAUAAUGAUAUAUGGUAGAUUUUAGAAAUUUUCUGUGGAAAAUAAUUGAUAAAAGUGAGCCAGUUUUGAUGGCACACACCUAUAAUCUUAGUACUUGGAGACAGAGGCAAGAGGUUUGCCACAAGUUCAAUGCCAGCCUGGUCUAAAUAGUGAGUUUGAGGCCAGACAGAGCUACAUAGUGAGACUCUGUCACAGAAAAAAAAAAAAAAAAAAAAAAAAACCAGAAGAAAAAUUGUAGUUUUAUAAAUGUAUAUACAUUUUAAAAAUGUCAAUUAUUGGGGGUUGGGGAUUUAGCUCAGUGGUAGAAAGGCCCCGGGUUUGGUCCUCAGCUCUGGGAAAAAAAAAUGUCAAUUAUGGGUUUUUACUAUGGUGGUAUUUUCAUUUAACUAAAUUAUCUAAUAGGCAAAUAGUGUAUAAAAUUUAGCUGCUUAGUGGACACUCCUAUAAAUAUAAUACUGGAAUAUGUUUAAAGUUUUAUUUUGCGUUCUUUCCAAUUACAUUAAAAUUAUUAAGAUUAAUGUGGGAUUUAAAAUUGCCAAUCACGAGGAAAAAUUCAAAUUCAAAGCUAUUAUUUUUCACACAGUGCUAGCAUAAUUUAAGUAUUUCUAAAUACUGAUUUUUGUUAGACGAAAAGAGAUUGCAGAAAGAGAGCGUCGAGAGCGUGAACGCAUUAGAAUAAUUCGUGAACGGGAAGAACGGGAACGCUUACAGAGAGAGAGAGAGCGCCUAGAAAUUGAAAGGCAAAAACUAGAGAGAGAGAGAAUGGAACGCGAACGCUUGGAAAGGGAACGCAUUCGUAUUGAACAGGUGCAGUCAGAAAAUCUUUUCAUCUUGAACAACUCACCUUUGCAAACCCUGUCAUUUUUUUGCCCUCCAGUUUGCUUUACUUCCUGUAAAGCUCCUGUAGCUCCGAAUGAGCACUGAAGUGCCCCUGACACUAGUUAAGUGUGCUGAAUGGCGACUUCCUUGUUGAUUGCAAGUAGCCUGUAGCUCUGCAGUAUAAUGGCAGCCUAAUAGUACGAGCAUAGGACUGAGUCCAGAGUAGUUGUAAUCCAGGCUCUGUCACCACCCCAG